rnacentral:lncRNA from 1 species
CCCCCUUUGGCUGUUCUGAAUACUGCUGUAGGAACAGUGCCCUGCCAGUGUUGUUCGCAUACCUGUUUUCAAUGCUUUGCUUUUCAUUUUUGAGACAGCGUCUCCCUAUGUGAGACUGCCCUCGAACUCAGCGAUCCUCCUGCCUCAGCCUCCCGAGUGCUGGGAUGACAGGCAUGUGCCCAGACCUCCUGGGCACUUUGGGGCACACUCCUCAGAGCAGAAUUACUGGGUGUAUGAGAAUUCCGGUGUUUUGCCUUUUGAGGGCUUUCUGUACCUGUGUUUUAAAGCAGUUUGGUCCCAAGGACUUAACCAAGGGGCCUCUGGGUCGCCCUCGGCUCCGUACCGGUACCAGGCCCCAACAGUGCGGCCCGCAGAGGGGGUCUAGGGCCGGGACGGCGGCCUCCUUGCAGUGCAGCCACGCGCGCUGUGGGGGCGCUCAGGAGGCAGCCCACGCGGGGCCUCCGCUUAGGAGCAGGAAGGCAGGGGCUGCAGGAGCCUAUGGUGGAGGAGCUAGGCACCAUCGUCCAUCAAGGUUGUAACCGACGGACAUCAGGCCGAGGAGCAGAGAAGGGGCCGACCGCGGGGGAGAGCAGGAGGACAGAGCCUUCCAGGCAGACAGCGCGGCCUGUGCAAAGGCCCUGCUCCCUCUUGUGGAUGACCCGAGGGAGGAGCUGGAGGACCCAGAGCAGUGGAGACCGCAGCCGAGGCUAGAGUGGCCCCUGGAGGAGGGGCGCUCUCUCUGUCCGUCCCAGGGCUGGUUCUCCUGACUUCUCCUCGAACCCAUGGCGGGGGGGGCGGGCAGGAGCUGCCAGCUCAGCGCUUCGGACUCGGGGCUCAGUCGUACAGACGUUGUGCAGGGCGUCUGGAUGGGGGCUUUGGGGGCCCGGGCGAGGACGGCUCGGAGGGGAAGAGGGUGCGAGGAGGAGGAAGGGAACAUUACUGCACCCGCCUGCCAGACCCCGAGUCCCCCAGGCCUGCGGCGUCUCCGGUGCAGGUCAGGAGCUGCCGCCAGGCGCACCGUGGGGAAGGCGGCUGCAGACCGGGCCCGGCGGGGCGGCGCCCCGGGGAGCGUCUGUGUCAACGGAGCCCGUGCUGGAGGAAGAGCCCAGCUGGGGGGCCUGGCCCCCACGGGUGCCCAGCCCGGUGCCAUCGCUCUCCAAACCCCUCCUUCUCUGGAAUAAAGGCAGCCAGAACCCUGCUGCGAACUGCCACUCGCGGCAAAUUCCCAGGACCGACCUGCAAGUUGAGGCAGGCGCUGCCGCGCCAGAGCAGGGAGCCAGGAAGAAGGCUGGGGGAGCCAGGGUGCGAGGGGUGACCCCUGAGGCGCUGCCUCCUCCUGAGGCCCAGGGACAUGGCCGCCCGAGGGCUCCUAGAGGAACUGAGCUGCUGGGCUGCAGGGCCAGCGACGGCUCUGAGGACCCCAAGGAGGACAGAAGUAAAAGUGACUGCUCAGAACACCAGGCGCAGUCGAUGACCACACUGUGUCCGCUGCCUGGCACAUGCGCACACCCUGCAUUUCAGGGGAGCCCCACCCCUUCGAGGCCCCACCCCAAGCGAGAGGGCUGCGGUGCUGUCCCCUUGCUGCCCGAGGCCGCUUCCCUGCCUUCCCCCUGCCGCAGGACCCUUCGCCUGCCUUACUAGGUCCAGGCGUGGAGAAGGGAACCCUGGGGACCUGGGGUCGCCCACAGAUGAGCUCUCUGAGUGUCUGGCGUAGGAGAAACCCGGACUUCGGAGCUCCAGAAAAAGACGAGGUGCAGAAGAAACACGGCCUGCCUGCAGGGAGAGGCUGAAAUGUGGGUGACGCCCCAGUCCCCACUGUCUGUCGCCUGGCUCCCCUCCUCACCCCAGCUACACGGCCGGUCCGCAGCCUCUGAGCCUGACAGCUCGGGCCCAGUGGCCUUGCCCUCCUGGGCAUCUCUGGCUUUGCCUUGUGCCCAGGAUCCAGGACAUCUCAUCCUGACCACACUGGGCACACAGCUGCCUCUCAGGCUGCCCGAAUCUUCACCAUGACAGCCACCUCCCAAGCCCCAGUGCUCAGCUGGCACAAUGACCCACUUCCUAUUGUCCUUCGGACUGGCUCACUCCUAGUGGACCUGCAAUAUAUUUACUUUUUGGCACUACCAGGGACUGAAUCCAGGGCCUUCACACUGAGCUCCAUCCUUGGCCCUUUUUUAUUUUUUAUUUUCACACAGUGUCUCCCUAGAUCGCUAAGUUACCCAGGUUGGGCUCAAACUUUCGACCCUCAGCCUCCCAGAGUGCUGGGAUGACAAGUGCACUGCCACACCUGGCUGCAAACUUUACUUUUCUCUUGGAAAUGUCAAGAGAACUACUGUGAAUAACAGGCACUGUCCCGCAGCGCCAGGGGCCAGGGCCGCCUUCGGGAUUCCUCUGAGGGAUUGUAUUUCCCUUUUGUGGAUUAGCAGAGAGCCUCUCAGAACAGCCAGGCCCGAG